rnacentral:Y_RNA from 1 species
GGCUGGUCCAAGUGCAGCGGUGUUAACAACUAAUUGACCAUGACCAGUUACAGAUGUCUUUGUUCCUUCUCCAUUUGCACUGCGCUUCACUUGAUUAACGUGAA